CAUGUGAUGUCAAGUUAGAAGAUAGGCAAGAUGACUCUCCGUGGUGGAUUAAGGAAACAAAAGAGCAGUAGAUGUGGAACCAAGAAGCGUUCCACCAAUGGAAGAGGCUGUCACACUCCAGAAGUUGGUAACAGGAGUGGUUCCAUGAGGGGAUUUCAAGUUUUAUCCCAAAAUGCAUACGCAGGAUUCAAAUAUGAUUUGUUCAUCUGUUACACUGAUGAAGAUGAUGACAUGGUUGAC